GAAAGGAAAGUGGCCACAGAGGUCAGUGUGGAUGGAGUUUAACACAGGAGGUAGAGAGGUGUGAUGAGGCCUACAGUGGCCUCACAGAGACAUGAGUGUGGGUCAAGACCUCAUUUGUAAAUACAGAUGUGAGCCAUAGUUUGCCUAUUAGAUUUUUAGAAAAUAGUGCAUUAAAUAUUUUGUAUCUUGAUUAUUGACUUUUGGUACUCCUUUUCAUUUGCAUCCUGUCUCCACCCCCUAAGCCUAACAUCUUUGGAGAGCUAUGAAGGGUUUUAAGAAAAGGAGUCACAUGAUUAGUUUUCCCCCUUUAAAAGAUACUACAGAAUUUACUUAGAAUAAUAAUGAUGGGAUAAUUUCUUAAAUAGAGUAGCAGGAGCACCUGGAUGGCUCAGUCAGUUAAGCAUUGGACUCAUGGUUUUGGCUCAAGUCAUAAUCUCAGGGUCAGGGACUGAGCCCUGUGUCAGGCUCCACGCUCUGGGGAAUCUGCUUGAAGAUUCUGUCCCUCUCCCUCUCUGCCCCUUUCCCCACUCUCACACACACAUAUGCACAUGCACUCUUUCUUUAAUAAAUAAAUCUUUUUAAAAAUAAAAAUAUAAUAUAAUAACAGAGUAGCAAGGGGGCACCUUGGUGGCUCAGUUGGUUAAGCAUCUGACUUUUGAUUUCAGCUCAGGUCUUGAUCUCAGGGUCAUGAGUUCACACCCCAUGUUGGGUUCUAGGCUGUGUAUAGAGCCUACUUAAAAACAGGAAAGGUAGAGUAGCAAGGAAGCCUUCCCAGAGAAAGUGAACAAAGGAUAACAAACCCAUUAUAAAAAUAAAUACAUUGCUAGGGAGGAGAGAUAAAUCUCUUUCUACUUGAUACCCAGUAGUGGUUUGACAAGCUCACUAUAUGGGACAACCUACACUUCUAAUCUCAAAGACUUACAGAGAUUUCAAAAGGACUACUUUAAGUAUUGAACAGCUAAAAAGAGGCACCACCAGAAAUUUCUGCACAUUAACAAUGUAAUCCAUGCUUAGAUGGGCUGCACAGCCUAUCACAUCCACAGCAGAAAACUGGGAUCACAUUAACAGUAAGAAACUAUAAUACAAACUUAAAACAGCAAGAAACUGUACAAAUCAAAUUCUCAGCUGACCACCCUUCAUCCCUUAGAAUCUGCUCUACAUAGUUUUAGAAAGUCUCUGGUCUUUUCCCAUGUAAGUGGACCAACAUGUCUCAUCCCAGGAAGCCCCUUAUGGGUGCCCAGACCCUGCCCCAGCAAAAUCAGUGGAGGGCUGGGGUCUGGAGCAUGAGCCCAGUGACUCUUCACUGCUCCUGAAGCAUCAAUUGCUGGGCAGCUGUUGGGCAGUUGCUCUGGGGGCCUCUUUCCCUGCCACAGUCACCCCGGGUAAUCCUAUGAGUGGCUAUAAUGUCAGCCCGAGCCAGCUGUUUCCCACUAUCUCCCACACAUACGAGUUCCAAGAUGUCUCUCUUUUUAUUCUACACUUGAUUCACAGAAUCAAACCAUGGAAAAAUAGUCCUUUCCCAUACAGAAAUAAGAGUGAUUGAAAUUGUCAGUAGAGUGUAAUGAAGUAGAACAUUUUAUUUACCAGAGUGAGAGAACAACUGCACUUCCCAGAGAGUUCUUUGUACUGCUCUCCCCAGGGAAGACGAUCAAUGAGGAGCCACAGGGCUACUAGGCUCAGGCAGCCUCUAUAGGCGCCAGGUGAUGAGAAGGCAGAGGCAGGAGCAGGUACUCAUUGGAUGCCCCUCCACCAGGGAAAGGAGGCACAGGUUGGUUGAGUAAAGGGGACAGAACUUUGAAUUAACAGAAAGCUGCCCAGAGCUAAGGAUAACUCUGAAUCUUGUGCAUGUCUCAACCAUACUCUACUCAUUUCUUCCUAGGAAUAAACAAUAAUAUAAUACAUACAUACAUGCAUGCGUACAUAAAAUAUGCAGGGAGUGGUCAACACUAAUAAAUCUAGCCCCAGGUCAGCAAAUGAGGAACUGGUAAGUAAAACCAUAAGAAAAAAAGGAUGUUAUAUAAAAAGAGGUGGUGGGGGGGAGAAACCCUGAGUUUUAGAAUAGGAAUCCAGAUGGCAUGGUUGUUAUAACCAUCCAGGGUAAAAGUUGAGGGGUAAUCUGAGGGAUUAAUUGUUCAAGGUAGAAAGCUCCAAAUUUUGCCCUGGUUCAAUGACCAACUGAGCAUUGCGAAUCUCUUAAGAGCUAGCAUCUACUCACCACAGGGCCUGCACAUCAAGUUCUUGUUAAUGAAACUCACUUAUUCCACAAUGAUCAAGGCCCUACUUCUCCAGUGAACUUCUAGAUGCAUCCUCAAAAUGUAGUUCCUUCUCUUAACUUAAUGUCUGCAUAUCUUUAGUCUUAUUGCCCAACUAGUCUCUUCCUUUACAGCAUUUAUCAGCAUAAGUAAUUAAAUGUUAAUUUAUAUAAUUAUUCAUUAAGAUCUCUCUCUUCCCCUCUAGACUGUAAAUCUCACAAGACAUGGAAAAUUGUGUUUUGGUACUCCUGCUGGUGUUCCUUCCAGGCAGAAUGAGACCUGACACAUACUAGAAGUGUAGGUAACAGAGUAACACAGGCAGUGCCCCCUUGAGCGUUCAGACAUUCUGUGGUACCUUAAUUGUAAGUGAAGUUUUACUGGAAUAUAGCCACAUUCGUUUGGCUAGGUAUCAUCCACAGCUACCUUCUAGUCACAAUGCAGAGUUGAGUAGUUGUGACAGAGACCAUAUGGCCCACAAUAUCUAAUGUGGUUACUAUCUGGCCAUUUACAGAAAAAGUUUGCCAACCUCUAUUUUAGACCAUGGCUUUCACUAAGGUUAGAAUUACUCUUCCUUUGUACUCCCAGCACCCUUUUGCCACUGAAUAAUGCCCCAGACCCUUGGGCUUAAAAAACAGGUUUCACUAGACAUAAAAAUAUUGCAUAGUUGGGGCACCUGGGUGGCUCAGACGGUUGAGCACCUGACUCUUGGUUUCAGCUCAGGUCAUGAUCUUGGGCUGAAAGCAGAUGUUCAACCACUGAACCACCCAGGCGUCCCAUCCCCCAUUUUUUUCUUUUUAAGGAAACAUUAAUGGGUGUUUAAAAUCAGGAAGGCCUUUCUAAUGUUGAACUUGUCUUUGACUGAAAUUUCAGACCCCUUCCUUUAUUUGCCUACUGACAGACAGAAAUAGGCUGCUAAUCUCUGGGCAUAUGUGGGUGCUCAAGUCCACUGCCAAUUCUGAAGGAAUCUGAUCUAAGGAACCAAGCUAGAUUUUAAUGGGAGAAUUAGUAACUAACUAGUA
rnacentral:lncRNA from 1 species